CUGGCUUGCUGGAUCCAGUUCCUGAUGCCCAGAAAACAUCCAGGAAAGAGAAUCAGAGGCCCUGGAGGAGUCAGAGCUACAGCCCUGGGUGGCUUCUGCAGUUCUGCGUGUUCCCAUGCUCUGUUGAUGCCUGAUGGAGGAUGAAGUAAAUACCAGCUGGUGUAGAAUGAGUGGAAUAUAAUUACUCUCUACAAAGUUAAGUGAAUAUUAAAAUGCAGAAGUCAUAGGCACUGGUGCUUUUCCCUCCCAACUCCACUGCCCAGUAAACAGUAUCCUGACCUGAUGCUUGGCUUCAAUGCAGCUUACAGCAGGGAUCUCAGUAAAGGGCUUGCUUGUCAGCAAUGUGGAAGCAACUGGGACACAGGCUGCUGAGAAAGGCAGGAAGUCAACCACCUUCCAGGAACGUAUGGAGACUUUCCUGAUGCCUGAGAGCAUGAUAUGGUGAAAAGAAUGCGGCUUUGGACCAGAGACCAAAUGUGACCAGAAUGUGGCUUUGGAGCCAGAGAGACCCAUCUCUGAAAUUUACAAGUCAUGUGACCUUGACGAAGGUCUCUCCCUUUUCUAUACUUCAAUUUGCUUAACUAGAAAAUGGAGUCAUACUGCGUUGUGUGAUUAAAGAACUAUACUUCAGAAAUCACUUGACAAAGUUUUGCAUAGUGACACGCAGGCAGAGAAAACUGCAAAAAGAGCUGUAGAAAGAUUGGGUAAGUAGUCUACACAUGUUAAGGUGAUGGCAGUAGAAAUGCAAAGGAACGGCUGGCAGCCAAGAUGGCUGAAUAGGAACAGCUCCUGUCUACAGCUCCCAGCGUGAGCGACGCAGAAGACGGGUGAUUUCUGCAAUUCCAUCUGAGAUACCGGGUUCAUCUCACUAGGGAGUGCCAGACAGUGGGUGCAGGACAGUGGGUGCAGCGCACUGUGCAUGAGCGGAAGCAGGGUGAGGCAUUGCCUCACUCGGGAAGCUCAAGGACUCAGGGAGUUCCCUUUCCUGGUCAAAGAAAGGGGUGACAGACGGCACCUGGAAAAUCGGGUCACUCCCACCCUAAUACUGCGCUUUUCCGAUCGCCCUGAAAAACGGCGCACCAGGAGAUUAUAUCCUGCACCUGGCUCGGAGGGUCCUACACCCACGGAGUCUCGCUGAUUGCUAGCACAGCAGUCUGAGAUCAAACUGCAAGGCGGCAGCGAGGCUGGGGGAGGGGUGCCCGCCAAUGCCCAGGCUUGCUUAGGUAAAUAAAGC
rnacentral:lncRNA from 1 species